GGCUCUGUGGUGAAAUUCAUGUUGAGUUGCAAGCUCAUCGAUGUACAUUAGAUGUGUACCGGAGCCU
rnacentral:tRNA from 1 species